rnacentral:tRNA from 1 species
GGAGGCGUCUGGGCGCCUGGUGGGCCCCGCGGGCUUCAACACCGACGUGAUCGAGUACCUCGGUCAGGCGGGUUCGAUUCCCGUCCGCCUCCGCCA